CACCAGGAACAGAUUCCAUCUCAAGAUGCUCGUCCAUAAGAAACAACUCCUCAUCUCGUCAAGUUUUAUCCUGAAAUUGCAGCGAUUCGGUCCCAUCUUCAGAUGCUGUGGUGAGUGGUAUCUGAAGAGCCCCACAAAUCCAAAGUUGUUGCCUUAGGAAAGCUGAGAUUCCAGCGUUCAGCCGCUGCGGCGGGGUUUACAUUCCUUGUCUUGAGACUGUGUUUGACUCAUUAAAUGUUUCAAGUCGGUUGAGAAACUUAAA